rnacentral:rRNA from 1 species
UACGGGGGGGGCAAGCGUUGUUCGGAAUUACUGGGCGUAAAGGGUUCGUAGGUGGCCGACUAAGUCAGACGUGAAAUCCCUCAGCUCAACUGGGGAACUGCGUCUGAGACUGGCCGGCUUGAGUGCAGGAGAGGAACGCGGAAUUCCAGGUGUAGCGGUGAAAUGCGUAGAUAUCUGGAGGAACACCGGUGGCGAAGGCGGCGUUCUGGACUGCAACUGACACUGAGAGACGAAAGCCAGGGGAGCAAACGGG